GCCCUCUGAUGUAGGACCGCUUGAGUCCUAAUGGCAGAAGAGAAGCAGAGGGCUGCUUCCUUGUGCCCCUCUGAGAGGGGGGUGCGGGAGCCUCAGGAAGAUGCCACGGCCUUGUUUCCAGGUGAGCCUCAGCGAUGACAAGUGUAGGUUACUUUUUUUCAUCUGCACUCACCUUCCUUUGGGUUACUCUUAAAAAUAACUGCUUCGAGCCGACUGGCUGGUGGGGAAGCUUCCUUUUGGCUUUUCUGCUCUAUGGUAGACUCAGUGCUAGUCUGUGAGGGAGUCUCUUUCCGUAAAGAAUGCGUGGCAGUAAAAGAGAAACAGUCACGAGGCCUUGGCUUGUAGCAUGAACUUUCUUGUUUGUGUUAACAUUGUCAGGGAUCUCUGUGAUGCUUGCCAACCCAAGUCUGGGAGGCCAAGCUCCUCCUUGCCCCACGAGCAGCCUCAAGGACCAGUGUGUCCUUGAAGCUCACUGCUUAGCUGGAUUCUGAGCACAAUGGGAAUUUGUAAAUUGUGGCUGAAUUUGUGAGCUGUAGUUUGCUGCUAGAGCUGGCUUGAUCUCCAGCUAUUCCCAGUUUUCAAAUAUUGCUCUUUCUGGGGCUUAAAAUACAGAUUUGUCUUAGGUAUCAUUUCCAGGCCCCGAACUGUGGCUUGGGUCUUCAUUUGUCUCUGUAUUAGUAUCCUAGGUUUGCUGCCAGUAAGUCUCUACAAAAGAAACAGCUCCAGACAGCUCCUGGUUCUGGAGACCAGAAGUCCAAAAUCAAGCAAGGUACGGGAAGGGCCGGUGCCUUCUAGGAUCUUUGAAGGAGAGUCCAUGUCAGCUCUCCUUCCUAGCUUCUGGAGGCUGCCAACAGUCUUUUGGUCCCUUUGUGCAUGCCUCGAUUCAAUAUACUCCCCACUGCACACAGUUCUCUCCUCUCUCUGUAUUUGUCUUUGUGCACCUCUCUCAUGGACACGUGCGAAUGGAUCUAGAGUCCAACCUGAUCCAGAUGUCUUCUCCAUCUAGCUAGUUAUAACUGUAAUGACCCAGUUUCCAAAUAAAACCCUGGGGAACAUGACUCUUUUGAGGGUUUGCCAUUGAGACCUUUGUAGCCUUUCUACCGUCAGACUUUCCCAUCUAGUCACUUGCCCCACAGAUUCAGCUGUUUUUCCCAGAUCUUACUUAGCAGGUACACUUGGCUCUUGCUCCCAAAGCCUUCCAUGGCUCCCACUGCUGACCGAACAAAGUCCUAUCUCUUUAGCUCAGUUUUAGGAGACCCACCAUAGUCGGGUCCCAAUGAUGUUUUUGACCCUGUUGUCUUUAUGCCUCUACAUAUACCCUCCAGGUAUUGUGGAAUUUGUCGACUGGACCAUGUACUCCCUACCCACACUCUGUCUGCUGCUUAGGUGCUUUCCUUGAAUGCCUGUGUGCUGUCUUUCUCAGGACAACAUUUGUAAACUGCUCUGAAUGUAGACUGUUGACAUAACCUGCCCCAUCCCUCAUUUGCUGUGGUGCUCCAAACAGGGUCUAAAUUUUACUCGAAGCCUCUUUAUUAUACUUUCUUAGGUCCUUGGAUUUGGCCACAGUGUCCUGAAUUAUAUGGGACUGGAAGCCAAGAGAUACUGGGUAUAGGAGGAAAAGUAUCUGUGUGGGAGAACCACUGCCCAUCCCCAUAUGAUCCUUAGCAACACUGGUAGCCAGAGUUAGGACCAAGGAGGUAAAAGAAGAGACGUAAUAAACUGAAGGACAUCAACACCUUUCAAUAUCAGCUCCGAUAGAUGCUCUGAAAACUUGAAAAUACCGGAGGUUUUUGAUAGGAAUUCCAACCACGCCCCAUGGUCGCACAUGCCCAGCGGGACACUUAGAUGACUCCACCUAGUGACCCAGGCCCCAUGGUUACUCGGUCACUUAGUAGCCCCGUGAUCUCUGCGCGUGGGCCUGUGUGCGCAGAUGGCCUUUAUAAGGCAGCGCCAUGUUCCCCCGGUCUCUUUCUCGCACGUGUCUUUCCACAGGCCCGAUCACAUCUAUCCCUUUCUCUUUGUCUUGAUAAAUCUCUUGUUAGUGGAUUCUGUCGUGUGUCGUGACAUUUCCUUUAGGGCAAGAGUGCCGUUAAAAAAAACCAACAGUUUUUCCUUGCAGUGUUGGGAUCAAGUCCAGGGCCCUGGUACAUGCUGAGCGAGUGCGGCACCGAUAAGCUGCAGCCCCUGCCCAACAAGAUGUUUCUGCUCUUAGGAUUGCUCUUAGUGUCUUUUGCUAGCUCUCAGUGAAUGCAAUGGUUUUGAAAUCUUUGGCGCUACUGGAGCCCUUCCUUGCCAGGUCUUUGCAAUGGUUUUGUGAAUUGGAUGUAGAAACCCGGGCUAAGGCAAACACCCAGGUAAAACUGCUUGCCUCCCCCAAAUAGUUUAUGAAUAGCUUACAUGAUGGUUUUGUCUCAUCAGCUUGAAAGAACUUUGCAUGCCUGUCUGCUUUCACCUUGCUAGGUUAGGGCAGAAACAGGCGACCCCCGAACUCCAUUAUUGUUUUGGACAUUGUAUCUAAAACUGGCAACAGUUGCCUGCUGGUCUCUUGCCCUUUGGGCAUUUCAACAGUCAGUGCUCUACAUAAGAAGAGGUAUGUUAGGUGAAUUUUCCUUUGAGUAAGUCUUCCCUGCCAUAUAUUUGUCUCCAGGUCCUGUGGCAAUCUCGUUCAACUUAAACAAUAAAAACAAAGGGAACAGCUUGAGUCCAAGUUUGUCCUAGCCAUCUGCAUAAAGAAUAUACAAGCCUUUGAAAUGUUUUGAGACUCCAGAAGGAGAGGAAGGCACACACCCUUGGUGAUUCCAUCCUUAAGCACUGCUCUCCGAUCCCCCAGCUUCCUAUUUCCAGGACCUUCCUUCUUUAACAAAAGUACAAAGAACACGCAACACAAAGUCAAAGAUGUAAAAAGUAGAAGAAGUAAAGUCUUUCCAUGACUCCAUGUUCUUGCUGUGACUCAGAAUUGCUCAUUAGGGCAAAACCCCUCACACCUCGUGAGUUAACAGCCAGCCUGUUGUAGCCUGUUGUCAUUGCUCUGAAGGUCCAAGAUUGAAGUGGGUGUCACUAACACAUGCAGGCUGGAUCACCCCAAUUCUAGUCCCACUUCUGAAACAAGGAUUCUGGUAUUUCUGUGUUUCCUUUUCUAACUAGACAGUGAAUCCCCGAUGGAAAGGAUGAGGCUUUCUAUCUCUGGAUAGCCACUCGGCAGCUGGGAUGUAAGAACACUGGAAAAAUAGUUUUGUUUGGAAUGGCAGGACUUUCCAAACAGCCAGCUCCCUGCAAAAAGGACACUAGGUGUUGCUGACUCUGCAGGUGGGGGUGGGGGGUGAGGGCAGAGGGUGGGCAGACACAGAAUCAACAGCACAGAUUCUGGGAGUUAUGUAAGCAAUCUCUCAUUUAUUAAACGAAGGGCUCAGGUAUUUAUGUGUGUGCUGUAUGGCAGGCAGGCUUUGCUUCCAGCUGCCCUGGCGUUGCUUGGUUUGACCCCAGGUCUUACGUCGGCAGUUGUCAUCUUGGGGGUCCGGUUUUAGGAUCCUCUGGGUCAGGAUGCUACUGUGCAUGUCAGAGCUCUUUGUUUGCUUAAGGCGUGGCCCAGUGCUUUCCGCCUUACCCACCUCAACCAGGCACCCAUUUUUCUUGAGCACAUACAAAUAUUUGGAAUCAGGAUUCUGACUCCACAGGGGGGUUAGUAGCAAGGGCUCCAUGUCUCAGAGUCAGAGGAGAUGGAGCUAUGGGUGAGAAGCAUUAAUGCUGAUGGGAGCUUGUAGAAUGGAUGGAGGGAUGGUAUGUGAUUUUCCCUAGGGAUAUGUGAGUACAUAUCUAUUCACCACUAAUAAAGCAACAAAACUAAAAUGAUCCUACCCAGGUCUAGCUUGGUGAACCAGUCAGUUUAUUGGGGUUAUUUAGAGAAGUUACUCAAAGGCAGCUGCCUCACCAGAAAGCCCACCCCAGCGUGGAUACCAAGCUAUGAAAGCUACCUGCUUGACUUGCAGGUACCUCUGACGGAGGGAAGUCUUCAUUCCGUAGGAACUAUACUGCUCUUAAAAUCUUGGGAGAGGGCCCAUGGAUUUUUAUAAUAUGUGAACUUCCCAAGUCUUAUACAUUUCAUGAAUUUCCUGACCCAGGUGAGUCUCAUUACUUUCCUGGGGUUAUGAGCCUCUGCCUCUCCUUCUAGGAGGGAAUUCUUUGAAGGAGGUGAAACAGUUCCUCAAGGAAGAUGGUGAACUUGUUUCUCAUGUCCUCCAGAACAAAUGACCAGAAAGUAAAUGAACUGAAACGGUAGGAAUUUACUAUCGUCCGGUUCUGGAGGUCAGGGGCAUGGGAUGCAUCUUCCUGGGAUGACAUCCAGAUGUGAGCCGUGCUGUGUUCCUUCAGGGGGUUCCGAGGGAGAAGCUUGCUUGCUGUCUUGCUUUUUAGAGGCCACCUGCAUCCUUUGGAUACUAGCACCUCUUCAAAGCCAGCACCUCAGAUUUGUCUUUGAUUUCUGACAUAGCCCUGAUAGUCUCUUCUCCCGUAUGAGGGCUCUGAUAAUGACGAUGGGCUGAACCUGGUCCAUCCAAAUAAUCUCCUCUUCUCAAGGUUAACAGAAAGGCAGCUGGAAUUCUACCCACAACUCCAGUUCUCCCUUGAUGCAUAACAUACGCACAGGCUCUGAGAGAAGGGAAUGUGUAAUUUUUGGUGGGAGGCGUUCUUUUACCACAAGGGAGGCUCCCAAUGGUCAUUGUAGUGUCGGCACCCUUGUUCAAGAUCAAUACUUGAGGAACCUUGACCUCAGACAGUUUAUGUGAAUUCCAACUGUUGGCUCCACGGGAGAAAAAAUUCCCCUGAGCCCUGGGCCGUUGGUCACUGGAGCAGCAAGUAAAAUUCUGUUGGAGGCUUGGGGUCUUUCCCUCCAGUUCCCUUUGCUUUGCCUGGCCCCUUUUUUUCAAUUUUCUUUCUUGAGGGAUGAUGCCCCUCCAUGGACUCAGAAUGGACUUGAUCCAGUCACAAGAGAGGCUCAUUGCUUGAACAAGAGCAUGGACUUUUAGAAUUGUACCUUCUAAGUGCCCACUUGGGGAUGUUGAGCUUUAGUGAUCAAGGACUCCAAAAGUCUGAAAUCUUGGAAGUUCCCCUUAGGAACUCUAUGAAGAAGGCCUAAAGAGUGAGCACCCACACCAACCUUUUCUGCCUUAGUGGCUGCUGUAGAUUUCACCCUAUGGUUACCCUGUCGAAUGAGGCUGGCAUCUAGAAUUCAAGAGGACUUUAGCCAUUGGGUAUUCACAGCGAUGGAGCUGGUGACACUGACAUACAGUUCAACUCUUAAGGCAGAAGGUGGGCAAUAAAAGAAAUUUUCAGUCAAGGUCAAUGCUGGAGGGGAAGACACCAGAGAGACUUAGUGCAUGAUGUUUUCUCUUGGAAAGAGCAAACCAUGAUCUGGGGGAGCAGAUUCCUAGAGGUGAUGUCUGGAUCUCAUUUAGAAAGUUAUCACCCACCCACCCCCAGUUGGCCGAUUCUGUCAGCCGUAGGGUACUAGCAGUUCACCUAACUAGCCUAGCAGUUCACCCUACCCUCUGCGCCUAAAGAUAGAAGCUGGCCAAGGACAGGAUCUAAGGCUUUUUUACUAGAGAAGUACAUUCUUUAGAACUCCGAGAUGAAUCCAGUCUGUGAAGAAAGACAAGGCCCUGUGGAGAGACCUUGGGGGCCACUGAGAAAGGCAGCCCUGAUUCCUGGAGGAGCAUCAGGAAGAGACCACGGUACAUUGUUCAGUUAUGGAAAAGUCACUUUGGCAUAGUACCACAGUUUCCUUUCAUCCCUAGCAACCAACAGGGGGAAAACCCCGUCCUCAAAGAUGAGCAAAAGUGAAGCAAGACACCUGUAUCCAGCUGUAGCUAGAAGGCAGGUCCUGUGAGGAAGCGUCAGUUCCAAGGCACACCAGUAGCUUCCCGGGGGUUCCUGCUUCUCUCUUCCAUAGCUGUUUCCAAGGAGGCUUCCCCAGCUUCUAAGAUGUGCAGGCGGGAUGGUCAAGAAAACUUGGCAAUGAUGGAGACAGAGCAAGAGCGCAGCCAGGAAUGGGAUCAUGCAUGUUGAGGAUGGAUGAUUAUGGAAAGAUGUUAGAAGACAGCACAAAGGGAUGGGACCUUCUGGGGUCACUGACCUGUACCUUGUACUUGUCCCUGGACUCCCCGAUUUCCCAUGGGAUAGGCUCAGCAAAUGCCUGGCUUGUCAGUAUAUUUGUCAAAUUAUUUGUGGUUAUCUCUAGGUCCACAGCCUGUGAAACGUGAUUGGAAAGGACCCACAGUAGGGAGUUCACAGUGUCUUUCCCACUGGUACUCUGUUUUUUUCUCAAGCUGGGAAAGUGACAUUAAAAGAAUAAUAAGGCAUAAUAAGAAAUGAGAACAAAGUGUCCUGAGGCAUAUGUAUGAAAAUGCCACAAUGAAACCCGCUACUUUGUGUUUUAACCCCCAAUUGAAGAAAAAUGUAGUAAUGAAAUAAAUCAAGCUGAAAUGAA